GAGCAAAGAGGCAUGUGAAUCUGAAUACAGUGAUAAUGAUGGUCUACUUUUAGCCACCACAAGUAGAUUAACAAAAAAACAAAAGGGUCAUCACCGAGGGUCUGACCAUCAGGAGGUGGCUCAUGACAAGGCUGCAUGCUACAAACGUCAAACACAUAAACAACCUCCUCUAAUGAAGGUUGGGUCCACGGUGCUGCUAAUGACUUCAAAAUAUCCUAAUAAGGCUCAUGUGGCUUAUGCAACUCUCCUCAGCACCGAUCCAGAAGCCAUGGUUGAUGGAGUUAAGAUAGGAAGUCAAUUCUAUAGAGUGCGUAUUGAUCACCCUAUAACAAAAGAUGAGCCAUUAGUAAGGCCCAUGCCUGGAUGCAAAAAUAUUGGUGAUGCACAUGCCAAAGGAGUCUCAAUUGCUUGGCCUUCCAUGUUUGUUCAAAUGAUUAAUGGUUGAAUGCCCACAUCGAUGUGUAUAGAGAAAGGAAAAAGAAGGAAGGGCCUUUA